rnacentral:rRNA from 1 species
UACGAAGGGGGCUAGCGUUGUUCGGAAUCACUGGGCGUAAAGCGCACGUAGGCGGAUCUUUAAGUCAGGGGUGAAAUCCCGAGGCUCAACCUCGGAACUGCCUUUGAUACUGGGGAUCUCGAGUCCGGGAGAGGUGAGUGGAAUUGCGAGUGUAGAGGUGAAAUUCGUAGAUAUUCGCAAGAACACCAGUGGCGAAGGCGGCUCACUGGCCCGGUACUGACGCUGAGGUGCGAAAGCGUGGGGAGCAACAGG